rnacentral:rRNA from 1 species
AACGAACGCUGGCGGCAGGCUUAACACAUGCAAGUCGAGCGAGACCUUCGGGUCUAGCGGCGGACGGGUGAGUAACGCGUGGGAACGUGCCCUUCUCUACGGAAUAGCCCCGGGAAACUGGGAGUAAUACCGUAUACGCCCUUUGGGGGAAAGAUUUAUCGGAGAAGGAUCGGCCCGCGUUGGAUUAGGUAGUUGGUGGGGUAAUGGCCCACCAAGCCGACGAUCCAUAGCUGGUUUGAGAGGAUGAACAGCCACACUGGGACUGAGACACGGCCCAGACUCCGACGGGAGGCAGCAGUGGGGAAUCUUAGACAAUGGGGGCAACCCUGAUCUAGCCAUGCCGCGUGAGUGAUGAAGGCCUUAGGGUUGUAAAGCUCUUUCAGCUGGGAAGAUAAUGACGGUACCAGCAGAAGAAGCCCCGGCUAACUCCGUG